AGUUAUAGCAAGUCCACGCAAGCUCUUCAGCGAGUGAUAGCAUUUUUGAAGCUUCUCCAGUGUCAUAACCAAAAGAACCUAAUGCCAACAUGCCAGGGGAAAAACAAGCCAAUUCAUCCAUCUUGUCAGACAUCUGAUUUCCAUUCUUCUCACGUAUGUAUGCGAAGGAUGAUGGUGUUGUCCUAUGAACCAAGCUUUGAAAACCUUUCAUUGAUGUCUCCCACAUUUCUCUGUAAAGUUUUACAGCUUCUGUUUUGUUCCCUUGCAUCCAAACCUUGAGUAAAUACUCAUAGAAGCUAUCACCCAUGGCACCAAAUGUGAUCACUGAGUAUGAAGACAUUCCAGUGUGAGGAUUAAUAUAUAUGGGAAGCAAACCAUCAGCAGGAAAGUUUUUGUGAAGCUCUUUGAUAACAUUCUCCACCCUCUGCUGGUACUUGGGGUCUUUUGUCCUUUGAGAUAAGGCGAUAAAUUCCAGCUGCUCUGUUGCAGAAUCUGCCAGGAUACUACUUCCCCCUGUCCACCUAGGGUUGUGCGGAUUCCCAUGCGCUAAGUUGAUUGUGUUAUAAGGAAUUCCUGAAGGUGUAUUCCAUGCAGGCAGCAGCCUAUCUGCAAUAUCUCUAGCCUUUUCAAGAAAAAUUUUGUCACCAGAGAGGUCGUACGCACUAAGAAGCCCUCCUACAACUCUUAUGGUUGUCUCAAAGACACUAGCCUCGUAAUUUUUGUUGAAGUCCAACGAGUUUGCAACCCACUCUCUAGCUCUUUGAAACUCUUCAUGAAGACCCAUUAUGAAUAAUGUAUCAAGAGAGUCUAUCAAAGUUGCACCAAGACCACCAAAGCUAUCAAUACCAUUCCGUGUUUGUGGCUGGAGUUCAUCAUGACCCCAUGCGUACUUCUCAUAGCAAGUCCAAGCAUGAAGCAUAGCCUCUUUCACUUUCUCUCUUCGUUCAAAACUAAUAGGAUCAUCCUCCUCCAUUUUCCGCUUCUUAUCAUUAAUGGGAAACUCUAUCCCUGAACCUUUGAGUUGCGUCCUUAAAUCCUCAAGCUGACUGCGUAAUUCUGCCAAUUCUUCAUUCAACAUCGAAACCUCCACCUGAAAUUUCAAGAGAAGGUAGAAAAAAGUGAAUUUAAGCUCAAAUUAAUCCCGACAAAAGUGGGAAAAUCAGAAACCUGGUGGUCUCGUGCAAGAGAUUGGCGGUCCAAAAGGAAGCAAGUAAGAGAAACGAAUCCAACGAUAAGAAGAACAAGUCGAUUGGAGCGAAUCCAACCAUUCUUGUUCUUAGAGCUCGAUAGAAGAACAGAGGAAGAGGAAGAAGAGGAUUUCUUUCCCAUAGAUUUCAAUUUUCCUUCUUUUCUGAUACAAUUGAAGAAGAGAAAAUUAUGAAAUUAAUAGAAAGAAAAGUCGACGCUGGUCAACUCAAUACAAGUUACAACCACUAGUAGGAAUUGGAACACGUCAAUUCGUUGGAAAGUACGCCAUCUGGAAUUAUAUUUUCUGACUUUCCAAACACGUCAUUAGAGUCUGACAAACAAUC
rnacentral:misc_RNA from 1 species